UACAUUUGUAUGUGUGUUGAGACUUGCUAGUAUGUUCUAGACUUUUCCAGGCACAGGAAAAGUCUAGUAUCUUAUAGGUUACACACCCUUCCUUAUUUAAUUCACAAAUUUCAGUAGGGACAAUUUCAACCAAAAGUAAGAGCACAAGCAAUCUCUUUCUUUUCCUUCUCAGUCAUAGAAACGUUGAAACAUUCAUUUCAUUGUUUGAUAUUAUUUUUGCAUCUUUAUCGGUCGAGAAUUAUAAUCCUGACAAAUAAAUUUUAUAAACUAAACAGGCAGUUCGGCAACAAAAUCCAGGACAGCUUAUUAUAGAAAGGCUGAAGAGGCCUAUACGUAUAUAUAUAUAUGACUAUUUAUUUAUGGGCUUGUUUGUCAGGGUUGUGACUCUCGUUCGAUGGUGUGGAGAUUAUAUCAGCCGAUGGGUGGAUUUAACGCUUCCGAGUCUGAGGAAGAAAAUAUCAGAGAUUCUACCGUUUAGAUUCUGCCGACUGAAUAGUAGUAACUCAUUUCCUAAAAGCCCUAGCUUGAUUUGGUUUUUGUUCUUUUCAUUUUGAAUUAAAACCCUAGUUUCUGUCCUUGAUUUAGAGAUUUUAGGAUUCUUAGCUUGAGUUGUGCACAGGUAUUUGUUUGUAUGGGUUUUAGUUUUGGAUUUAGAGAUUUUAGGGUUCUUGAGCUUGAGUUGUGCACUGGGUAUAUGUUUGCGUGUUAUUUUGUCAUUUUCUAGCUGCUUUAUGGUAUAGGAUUUGGUGUUUUGAUCCUUUUAACUGAUUUGUUCUCCAAUUUUGGUAAGGUAUGGAGCCCCUCUCUUGUCCUUUUGUUUCAAUUGGUGCAUUCUGUUUUGUUCAUUUAGGUUAUCAUAUGUUUUAUAUCAGGUAGCAGCAAUCUUUUUGUUUUUUAUUUCUAAAUGUGAAUCAAUUUAUUGUUUCUAUGGUUUGAGACCGCAUUUUGCUAUAAUUCAUGUUUAUUUGUUGUCAUCAGUGUUGGUUAAGCAUUAUCAAACUGCUUUUAGUUUGGGUUAAUGUGAUUUAUCUCAUCUUUUUAUUUGACAAAGCUUGUUUACCUGUAAUUCUCAUGUUGUUUUGUCAUUGAGAAAUCUUUGUCGGAAUCUCAUGUCUGACUGUUAAAUUUAUUUAAGUGGUGGUUUUAUUCCAUCUGUUUAUUUGACGAUGCUUGUUUACUUGUAAUUUUCAUGUCAGGGCUAACACUUAAAUUUUUAUCCGUUCGCAUUCUCACCAUUAUGUUGCAUCAUGCAAAGAAAAGUUAUGAAAUUAAUAGUACAAUAUUGGUAUAAUUGUUUUACAUUAACGUAUGGGGAUUGCUUUCCACCUCCAAUAAGGUAUUAUAUUGAGAGUUAAACAAGUCAAGCAAUGCUGGCCACGAUGCCAUGUAGGAAGGUUUUUGGUGAUUGUGGGUGUCAAGCAAGCGCUUCCUGCGUGGCCAGGCCUACAAGUCAAAACCUGAAAGGCGAUCCCUAAAACUGAAAACCUGAAAUACCAUUUCACAUCCCUUCAAACCUCGAAAGUCAAUCCUCGAGUCCAAAACUCUAACAACAACUUAGGUCCCUCAAACCUUGAGAAGCUCAAGUCCUAAACCUUGACACACCACCUCAAGUGCCCUCAAACCUCGAGAAACAACUAGAGUCCAAAACCCUGUUUCAUCAUCUCAUGUCCUCCCAAACCUCGAGAAACAAUUCUAGAGUUCAGAAAGUUUGACACCACCUUAGGUUUGCUCAAACCUUGAAAGGCAACUCUUGAGUUCAAGACCUUGAAGGCAUCAUCUCAGGUCCUCCUAAACCUCAAGAGACAACUCUGGAUUCCAAAUCCUUAAAGACAUCAUCUUAGGUCUUCCCGAGCCUUGAGAGACAAUUCUCGAGUCCAAAGCCGUAAAGACAUCAGCUCAUGGCCUCCCAAAACUCAAGAGAACGUGCGAAGUCCAAACUCCUGAGACACCAUAUCGGACUCUCAUGAACAAAGAAAGACGAGCCCUUGAGGGCACCCAACUAAUGGUACAGAAAGAUAGAGGUAGGGCUUGUAAGCUCUCUAUAGCUACAUGUGGGACACUUAGAAGGAUUUUGGAAUUGUGGAUGAGAAGCCAUAAUCUUUACUCGAAUAUUGGGCUUGAUCAAAGGUGGUGAUCACAUGCUAUGACACAGAAACUAUCACGCGAAAUACCUUUAUUGCUACGUCUUGGCCAUUUAUUGCUCAACCACCCUUACAAUUAAUGACUAGCCGAAAUUAUUUAAUGCACCACUCUUAACGCAAAAGGGGAUGAUUUGACCUAAUAGCCACAUGGGAAUGGCUUGGUAAAAUCAUAACCCUAAUGCCCUAGGGUCCAGCCUCCAAGUAACACCCAGCAAGGGUUUCGACCCCUCAGGUAUUAUCCGGAAGACCUCGAACCAUAAAUACUGGUGUCAUUAAGCAUUAAAGGGUAGAGCCUCGUCAACCAAACUGGUUUGUUAGUGCCUAGAGUUGACUGUGUAACCAAAACACUAGUCCUUUUGACUAAGGCCACAAUGAUUGAAGGCUGUACAACAAGUUUGAGUGAGAACUCUCAAAUUGCUUUUUGUUGCCAUAUUCAAUCUGCAUGAUAUUGACUGCUUUAAAUUUAGACCUGACCUUGUAAUCCUUUUUCCUUGAUAGCAGCAUGAGCAUGUCAUCCUCGAAUUCUUCGCAGUUCUAUCUUCUAUUUCAUAGCAUCCUCCUACUGGCAGGAUGUCUUUCAUGUUUUUAUUGUGAUUCUAGCUAUGUUACACGGACUUGGGUAAGUGUCUUGGUUGUGGACGUGUGUUCAGGUGUUACUUGAAUUCCAAAUCUUAGGAGAGUGGGUAUUGGUCCAAAAGUUGAAUAAGGGUAGAUACAUGCAUUUGAAUUAGGAAACUCACGUCUGCUAUUAAAUUUUAGGGUUUUUUUUUUUUCUUCAUGCAAUGUGAAUGUUCGGAUAACCUUUUGGAUUCAUGUGUUGGACACAUAUCCUAUUCCCAUAUCAAUAUUGUGUAGUGUUGACACAAGUAUGUGAAAUGAAAUAGGAUAGUCCAUAUAACAGAGGAUUCUAGUAUUAAAUUUUUGCAGUCAUUGCGAUUCAUUUGUUUAUAUGGAAACAAUGUGAGGAAGUAUUUGAGAAUGGAAUCUGCCUAUUUAUCCGUUAGUUGUCUCCAAUAAAACAUGGUUGGUGCUAAUAUUCUCUCUCCAGUUUUAUUUAUUUAUUUAUUUUCCCUUCUCUUUUCUUUUCUUCUCUUUCCUUGCUACGCAGAAGCCUCAAUUUAUUUUGAUUUUCUCUCUUGCGUAAAUGCAUCUACAUUUUUCUUUAAUUUGAAGCAUUGCUAAUAUCCUUGAUUACAUUGUUUAUUUGGUUGUUGGAGUUGAUGAAUAUGUGAUUAUGUGUUGGCUUUGAAUAUUUUCCUUUUCGAUGGGAAGAGAUCUAUUAUAUUUGCAACUUACUGUUUAUAUCCCACUCUUGACAUUUCCUGCAAGGCUGUUUGAUGUAAUGCAAAGCAACAGCUCGCUGACUCCAUCACAACAGUUGGUGACUCAAAUGCUGCUGAUACUCACCAACUGUUUACUGAACUGUGAUACAAGCAAUAUCCUGUCUAUUAUUAUUCAUUUAAUGAUUAUGCUGAUGGUUUCCAUUUCUUCAUCAAGGAUAUCUAUCCUUUUAAAUUUUCAGUCAAUAUUUUGAGCUUUCAGGACUUUUGGUGCAUGCCAUGAUUUGAACAGAAAUGUUUGUGGGCCUGCAGAACAGUGACUUUUAAUCCAUUUCAGGUACUUAUUCUUACAUUAAGUUUGUAGAGGUCACCGGUGGUGCUUAUAUAUUGUCACAGAGGUUCAGAUAUGCAGCUACCUGGAUCCAUAACAACUAAUUAAAUUUUGAGAUAUUUUUUUAAUCUUUUUAUGAGCCUUUCUUGGUGUGAUGGUAAAACUUAAAAGCUCAUGUUUUGCAUUUAACUAAUAUGAAAGGCUAGGUCUGUUGUCUGUCUCUCCUUCCCUGCAAGCUGCAUAGGUGAGACCUCUCUUUUUUAUCUUUCUUUUCCUUUUGAGAAAACAAAAUCUCAAAAAAAUAUGUAUAAAAAAUGCACCUACAUGCAUAAAUUAGAACAGAACUUCACCUAUAUUUUGUGCAACAAGAUUGCAUGUUGGACUAAGUUCUUGUCACACAAUUUAACAUUACAAAUUCGCUUCUAAAAAAAAAAAAAAAAAAAAAACACAAUUUAACAUCACAAAUUCAUGAUUAUAUAUAAUCCAACUUAGAACACGUGUGUGUAUGUUGAAGAAACUAACUCAUAGCAUCCGGACAUUCUAGUUCUUUGAUCUUUUGGCAUGGAAGAGCGAAGUAAAGGUAAGUUGCAUUAUGUAGUAUGUUGGGAUGCAGUUGCAAUAGGCUAAUAAGUAUCAUAGACAAGGACAUGAUACAACACAGGAAUGUCAACGCGUUAAAUCUUAAUAAAGUAGGACAUGUAUAAAACAUAGGCACGACCAUAUGUAAGCAUGCAUUUUUAUUUCUACAUCUAUUGAAUAUGACUAGUAUAAAACUGUUAUUCAUUUCGAAUUAUUAUACUAAGUGCUACUCUUGCAUAAUUUAGAAGAGGAAUUUAUACGAUUAUUGACAUGAUUGUUGUGUUUUAUAUAUUACUAUUUCACUUUAUCGUCAUUACAAUUAUGUUAUAUAUAUAUAUAUACACGAGAAAAAGUCACGUGCAUUUGCACGUAAAUAAAAUUUUGUAAACAUUAUGAAAUAUUAUAUAUAUUACUAUUUCACUUCAUCGUCAUUACAAUUAUGUUAUAUAUAUAUAUAUAUAUAUACACGAGAAAAAGUCACGUGCAUUUGCACGUAAAUAAAAUUUUGUAAACAUUAUGAAAUAUUAUUUAUAUAUAUAUAUAUAUAUAUAAUAUCACAUUAUUACUCCCUCCGUCCCUUAUUAGUAGUCCAUUUUUCUCUUUUUAAAUGUCCCAAAUUAGUUGUCCUCCUUGAAUAGUCAAAGCAUCUUUUCUUUAUAUUUCCAUCAUUGUCCUUUAUCUUUUUAAAAAAUUUCAAACUUUGUAACUAUAUAUAUUUAAAUUAAAAAGGAUAAUUUGGUAAUUUUAAAAGGGGACAAUGCAUUAAUUACAUGUCCCCUUAAAAAGUUAUAAAAUCAAGAAUGGACCAUUAAAAAGGGACGGAGGUAGUAUUAAAUAUAUGAAAUCAUAACAACCUUCAAAAUUUAGUUUAAAAAAAUCACUUUGAAGAGAUAAAACAAAGUUUUUUUUGUUUGCUUAUACAUAUCAAAGAAAAGUGUAAAAAAAUUGCCUUCAAAAAUAAAAAAUUAUGAUAUAUAUAUAUAUUAGAAUCAACUUUAUAAAAUUACACUGACAUUAAAAUCUAGUAAAAGGACAACUAUUUGGAUUCUAAGGUCAAACUCAAUGUUACUCCACUUGAUUGUUAAAAAUAUUAUAUAUAGAAUAUUAAACAUUGAAACUUUGAAGAGAGAGAGAGUUAUGGUUGAUACGCGACAAAGGGAAAAAAAAAAAUAUAGAGAUUUUUCCUUAAAAAUAAGAAAUUAAAAUGAAAAAAAAAAAAAAUGAAGCUUUGGAGAAUAAGAGUAAAAAUGCUACACACAUCUAAAACAACACAAUCCAUUUAUUAAUUUGCAACAGAACAAGCGAAGGAAAAUUGCAAUAAAGAAUGAUACCUAAAGUGGAGAUGUUUUUCCUAACCAAUGAGGAUUUGCAAGUGGAGGUCUAGUUGACUAAUAAUAGCAUAAGAUUUGAUGAUGAACUAAAAAAAAAAAAAAAUUUAAAUUUUGAUUAAAUAACAUAUCACAAUAAUAAGCCAUUCUUUAAAAUAUAUAAUUCAUAAGUAGGUCAAAUUUACAAAUUUAUAAAAUCCUUUUAAUACUUAUCUUUAGAAAAGGAAAUAAAACUUUAAAAAAAAAAAAAAACCAAACUUGAGAGAGGUUGAUUAAUUUUGCACCCAAAUGCCUAGGUUUCAAGAAAUAUAGUAGAUUGUAUUAAGAGAUGUGGGAACGAAUGAUUUGAUUAAAUAUUAAUUUAAAAGAUAUUUAUAAAAGGCACAACUCCUCAAUAGUAACAAAUUUGGUGUUCUGAAUGCACAACUCUUAAAUAGUCGUUAGUAUCAAACUAUUAAGAAAUAAGAAUAACAAUUGUACUUAAAUACUAAUUAGGAAUAAAUUUUUAAAAGUCACCACUCUUCAAUAUUAAGAUAUUUGAAAACACACAACUCUUGAUAUUUGAAAACACAUAACUCUUAUAGCAGUUAAUACCCAAAUUAUUGGUGACUCUUAUAACAUGAAAAGUCACAAAACAAUUAUUUAUUAAAAAUAACUGCUUCAAAUUCUAAAUAAUCAUACUAAUUCUGAAAGAAUGAUUGAUUGAUAACCAUUAGAAAGAAAUCUAAAAAGACACAACUCUUAAAUAAUAGUUAGUUAGUAGUUGUAAUAGACCACCAAUGACCUAAUUUUAAAAAGGCAACUCUUAAAACAUAAAAAUACAAAUAAAUAAUGUUUAAAUUUAAAGAUAAAUUUAAAGAUCUACUUUAAAAUGUAUAUAAAUUUUAUAAAUCCAAUAAAGCUAUUGAUUUAUAAAUAUAAAAAAAAAUAAUAGUUUAAAUGUGUAUGAAUAUUAAAAAUUUAUGCAACAUUGGUACCAAUCAUUAAGAUUGGCAAUGAGAGAAAAAUGAUUCACCGUUCACUUUCGAAAUAGAAAAGAACGAAUUUUAAAAUGCAAAUGAAAAUAUAUAAUUAAUAAUUCAUAAAAGAUUUAUAAUUUAUUCGCAUAGGAUUUACAACAUAAAAUAACUAAAAAAUUAUAAAUAUAGUAGAACAAUAAACAUUACACAAUUGUUUCUUUGUUUUAAUACUUUAAAGUUCUCAUGCUCUAAUAUUGCGUCUCCUUCUAUAAUGUGAGCACUUUAAAAUUUUAAAAAGAAAUAAAAAAACUGCCAUAUGAAUUUUAUGUGCAAUAAAAGUAAGAAAUAAUAAAAAAUUAAAGAAACUCAUCUUCAUUUGUGACUCAAUAGUGUUAUCUAUUUUCUUAAGAUGGAUAAUACUAAUAUAUAUUGUGUAUUAUCAAAAAUUAUCUGAAACUCACAACGUAAAAUUCUAAUAACACAGGAGAAACAGAUUUCUUUAUUAAAAACAUUGCAAGAAACAUACCUUCCAAAAAAUAAGGCUGAUGCACAUGAACCAAAUUAUUACUCUCAUGUUUCAAAGUUGUAGUUUGAACAUUAGAAAAAAACAUGAGACAAGAUCUUUUUACAUAGACAAGUAGAAAUGGAGAUAUAGUUUGCAACAUGAGUUCAACUUAGACAUCAUUUAUAUAAGAUAUAUACAGAUUUUUGGAAAAUAUGAAUGUAAAAUUGACAUUAUAUAAGUUCUAACCAGCAAAGUUCUACUGUCAUGAACUUUCAAAACAAACAACUUAAAACUGAAACGACACCUAUAAAAUAUUUAAACCGAGUAUAUAUUAUUAUUAUUACCAAAAAUUGUAUAUAAAAAAUACAAAUAAAAUUAACAGUUGUAAAGUUUCAAACAACAACUUAAAACUGAAAUGAUGCUUAUAAAAUAUUAAAAUCUAGUAUAUAUUAUUAUUGCAAAAAAGUGUAUAUAAAAAAUAUAAAUAGAAUACACUUUUAUAGGGUAAAUAUAUAUAUGAAAAAAGAGUAUUAUUCUAUGCUUCUUGUGACCAUAUGUGCGAUUUUAAAUGAAAAAGUUGGAUGCUUCGGAAUGUAUUUAUAUGUUUUUUCAAGCCUAACACGACUAGUUUAGAUGUGUUUUAUUUAGAACUCAUUUAGAGGUGUUCGGAAAGUGUAAGCCAGUGUUUGUUUGGGAAGUGUCGGCGAAGUGUUAAGAAGUGUCUGCAAAGUGUCGUGUAAGUGUCCAAAAUAAUUAACAUUUAUUUUUAAGUUGCGACACUUUGCAAGUGUCCAAAAUAAUUAAAAUUUAUUUUUAAGCUAUGGACACGAACAUGAAGUGUCAAAACACGUGUCUGUAGAGUGUCGAUAUCCGACACAGAUAUGGCUCUUUCGUUGAGGCAAUUGGUGUAGAUGAAAGGUAACGAAGGCGGAGAAUUUUUGGUUUUGUAAGUGUGGUGAGGAAGCCUAUUGAAAGAGUGAUCUUAGGGUCGAACAGUUGAAUUGCCUCACUACACGGGGUUUAUCUGACCAUAUUUUACUCUUUUUUAGUAUCACCACCUGAUCUUGUCCAAAUAUAUAAUAAAAAUAAGAGACUGCUCUGGCAUUUAGGAGGGUCUGGAAGAGGUGGAUGGUUGGCAGCUUACCCCUAUUCCUAAAGGCUUUCCGAAGUUAUAACUUUGUUUCAUUUGAGACUUUGAACCUUGGUCUCCUCACCCUCAAUUUAUUUUGUGGAACAUUGUAUAUGGUGAUAUUUUCCAUCUCCUUCUUUGACGCGUGUAUAUGAAUUUUAUGUAUUCUAUAAUUACAAUGUUGAAUAAUAGGUCAAUUAUAUACCUUCUCCAAACUAUACCUUGUCUACCCAACCAUUUGUAUAAUGUACGGGAAGACAUAUAAGGAAUACACUUGAUUAGUUUUGAUCUUUUAUGGAGGGAAGGUCCAUGUAUUUGUCUUGUGUGUAAGAAAUUAUAUUAGGAUGUGCUUAAAUAACUAGUUUUGCAUUUGACAUUAUAAUUGUUCUAUUGUGCACCCAUAGUGUCAAAUAUUAUUGCUGGUUCCAAGUGGAGUUACUGGCCUUACUAGGGGCAUCAACUAGCUUUUAGGUUAGGCAACUGCACAAGUGGUCCUUUAUAUGUCUCUCAAUAUCAGUACAUAUAUGAAUGCAAUCACCACUAAAAAGUAGGGCUAGCACUCCGUGUUAAUGGGCCGUGUUUGUAUCAUGUCAAAAUGAGGAUAUUCUACUAUAUAGUAUAUAGGUCAAAACGAGCACGACCCGUUUAUUAAACAGAUCAAAAACCGUUGACAUUAACACAACCCUUUUUUAAAUAGGUAACAAGUAACCUGUUUGUAAAUGGGUCGUAUAUCUGAUACAAGACAGAGUCUUAACAAUUUAUUUACAAUUUUUGUAAUUAUAAAAUGUUACAAAAUAAAGUAAAAUAUUGAUUCAAAAAUUAUAGUGACUAUUCUAUUUUAUCUAAUAAGUUACACAGUUUACCUAUGGUGUCACCAUAAUGCUAUAGUAAUUUAAAUAUAUUACCUGUAGCAUAGAGUGACAAAAUUGUAAAGGUCCUGUGAUUUCUCCCUAAAGAAGUUUUCUGCGAAAUUAUGGUGUCUACCUGCUCUAAUAUACUUUUCUGUACCUUCCUGCAUGAUCAUUUUAUUGUUUAUUAUUUUAUACAUUGACAUAUAACAGUUGAUUGAUCAAAUGGGAUUAAUAAACCGGAAGUUUCAUAGCAGUUAAAUAUUGAAUUUUUAAAAAUUUUGAAGUUAAAAUCAACAAAAAAUUAAUCAGAAUUGGAUCUAUUCACAUGUGAAGUCCUUGUCUUAAAUACAUAAUCUAGACAAAACCUUGCAUGUGAGCAACUCUCGGUAUGCAUUAUGUGUACAAGUCUACUAUGAAAGCCUUCUUUGUUUUCAUUGUAAAUGAUUCCUUGUUUGCUUGGCUUAAGAGUGCAUUCUGUGAUCCUACAAAACAUAGACAUUCUUUAGAAGAACCAUGACCAUGUACAAUAUUAUAUUAAACAUGACACUCAUGGGAAUUUGUCCGUCAUGGCCCAUGCUCGUCUUAAAAUAAAUUUGAUAUCUGAAAUGCUGAAAAUUUGUUUGUCAAAUAUUUUAUAUUCUCUUUUUGCAGAGUGAUUGUUGGUAAUGUCCGUGAACGGGUCAAUGAAAUUGGAUUACUAUUUACUAUAUGUAACUGCUCCAAUGAUUACAUUUGUGGAAACAGUUACUGUGCACAACUCAAGUGUCUGAACAAACAGGUGAACGUCAUAGUCGUGUUUAACUUAUAGAAAUUGUUUGCACAUAUUCUCUCACAAAGAGAAGUUCAGAUGAACAUACAUUUUUGAGACCUGCUCAAAUUGUACAUUGGCAGAUUAAUUAUGGAUGAAGAUAAUGUUUUCAGUUAUAAGCGACAGGCUACUAAAGUGUUUGCUGCAAUCAUUGUCAAUGUAGGGGAUGAAUAGUAAUCCAAAGAGGCCGGCCAAUGAAUGCUUUUCCUAUUAAAAGAGGAAAAGCAGUUUGCCUAGAACCUAAGCAACAAAGUGACUGGUCAAAACUCACAUGGGAUGAAGUUAAUUAGAAAUGGCUUUAAAAAAUUAAAUCUAAAAAAAUUAAAUCUAAGAGAAGACUUGGUAUAUAAUAGGAAAGAACAGAAGAAGAGAAUUCAUGUGGGGGUCCUAUCCAUGUGGGAUAAAGGCAAGGAUGAUUAUGCUGAUGGUUGUCAAUAUAUCUUCACAGUAAUUUACCAAUACACACACACACGCACACACAUAUAAAUAUAUAUGUUCAAAUUGAUAUCGUAUCAAAAUCAACCACAUUAUAUUUGGGUUUUUAUUGAUUAUCACGGGGGUUGUGUUAAUUUUGUUCUUGAGUCUCGUGCAAAAAUAACGGAGGAGUUGGAGCUGUUCUGUGUGGAGAAAAAGUUGCUUCGCUCUUGUUGUGUUAACCUCAACUUUCAACUGGCUACUGAUUCAUUUGCUUUUUCCAUGGAAUGGGAGAUUAUGGGUCAUGCAAGAUUAUUUUAAGCCUGGUAAAAGGGUUAGCUCCUAAUAUCUAUUGGACGGAUGAUAAAGUUGGAGGAAUCUAGAAAUAUGCAUGAAUGAUCACUUUCAUAUGUUAUUUUCAUUCCAGAAGUCCAUACAUAAAGCUAAAGCCAGUAGGAUUCUAAGUAAUUAGGAAAUGUAUGAUAUUAUGUCUUUUAAAGAUGUAAUGACUUUUAUUAUUGAGUAGUGCUUGUGCAUUUUGUUUACAUGAGCUCACAUACAAAGCUCCCAAUCUGGAAAGUAAUUUUUAUAAAAAUAUGGUCUUUCAGAAACUUGUACUAAUCUAUGUAUGCAGCUGAAGUGGGAGAAAGGUAUUUGUGUUUUUGAAAAACUGGAUUGAUGAAAUUGUUUGAUUGAUUGAGGAUAACGGAUAAAUUUAAAUUAUUGAUUGUGAUUAUGAUAGUC